rfam:Felis catus isolate Cinnamon breed Abyssinian chromosome D1, whole genome shotgun sequence.
GCCUGAGUGGCUCAGUCGGUUGAGCGUCUGACUUCGGCUCAGGUCAUGAUCUCGCGUCUGUGAGUUCAAGCCCCGCGUCGGGCU